AAACUGUGGGAGGGACAGAGAGCACAAGCCAGAGACACUGAAGUGGCGAUCGGAAAAGGGGAGAUUAUCUACUUCUCUUCCACUACCGUUAGAUUGUGCGUCUAAUAUUCCAUGUCGUCCGCGGUGACUCGUAUUGUUUUCCAAAACCUACUAAGCAACCGCCUGCCAACUUAAAGAGGAGCCGGAGCGCUUCGAGCUGUCCUUCAGGGAUUUAGGAUGCAUCUCUGCUCGUUGUUGGCAAUCAGAUACGAAAGAAAACACAUCCCCUCACUUUAUGAUUGUAAAGAAAUUAUUCUGAAGAAAAUUCACAUGUAAGCAAAGCGUAUGUAGUAUGCAUCUGAUUGCUUUUAUCUCUCAAAUUAUUUAUUGGGAUAAAGAGAGUGAGAAUUCGAGGACAGUUUUCAAGUUGUGGGUAAAAAGUCAGUCUGAAAUCGCUUAAGAAUGAUGGAAUGCUCUGCUUUCAGUUCCUUAUUUCCUAAUAGAUCGUGGAAAGAAAGAAAUGCUUGCCCUGAUGUGGAUCGCUCAGAAUAACUUCACUUUUGCCCCAAAGGGAGAUCUGCAAAUGGGAAAAAAAAUGAAAUCAAGUGCUCCAAAUCUGCCCUCACCAUCCUCAUUUCUCACAUUACCUUGAGCCAUCACUCACCGAAUACCUGCCACAUUCAGAAGCCACAGAUGGGAAGGAAUGAUAGCUGCCCAAACCAUAAUCCCACUCUGCUGGGAAGCAAACUCCACAUUUUCUGCAGGGAAAUCUGUGCCUCCCAGCACGUGCUCCAUUCAGAAGCAGGGCCUUGGUCAUUUGCCCCCACCCUAAGUAAAGGGGAGCUUCCUCCCCCCUCACCCCUACCUCUGCUCUGGAAACCAUUUCUAGGAACUAUCACUCACUCUUGAGAUCAAACAAUAGGAUUAGAAAAAGCAUAUAAUGCAAAUUAAAUAUAUAGAAAAGAAAAGCCUUCAAGAUUUUUAAAAUUUUUUAAAAGCAUUGUUACCAAUGAUUAAGGCAAACAAUAUUUAUCAACAGAUAAAUAGACUCCAUUCACAGAGAUUUCAAAUUUUCACUCCUUCCAUUGCAUCUUUAGCUUUCAAAGCUUUUGUGUUGUUUGUUUAUUGUUUUACAUCUCUGGUUGUUUCAGGUCUUCUCCCUCCAUCCCUUCUUCUCCAACCUGCACUCAAUUUGCAUAAGCAAAACUCAAAGUACUGUAACUGAUAUUAGAAAAUUCUCCCUGUGUUUUGUGGAGACGUAUUGUGCUGAAAUCAAUAAGACUGUUUAAAAUUCAAAGGCCUGCAAAUCGUUCUGUUUGUCCUUUGAUAGGGCCUGUGCUGAUUAAAAUGCUACCAAGAAAGCUUAAUUGCUGCACUAAUUAAGAAGUCUUUAAUUUCUUUCCUAGGAUACCCUUUGAAGCUGAGCUUGUACCAGUUCAGGAAAGGUAUUUUCUUCCCUCCCUCUGCCCCUUUCUGGCCCCUCCCCUUCUCUUCCCCCUCCCCCUCUGCCCCGACCAGAUCCCUGUGAAUGGGAACUAAUAAAGAGAGUGGUCUCAGGUCUCACCGUCUAUUACUUAACAAAAAUCUGCCCGGGAUAGAGUUCAGUGCAGUAUGAAAUGCAGUCUUGAGAAGAGCUGUAAGGUUGCAGCAGACUGUAGGAAAAUGCAGAGUAGGUGCUGCAGCUGGAGUCCCGGUGAAUACCUGGGGUGGCAGGAGGCACUGGAGCCGGAAGGUGAGGGCAUCCGAUUUGGUUAAAAGGGGCAGAGACAAGGAAAUGCUUCUACUGAAACAGGGAAACAUAAACGUACUUUCGAAACCUUUGGUUUAAAAAAAAAAAAGAAGGAUAAAUAUGUAGAAAGGUGGACUUAGAGUUGGGAUUUGGUAAGUAUCAUUUUACUUUAUGAGUAUAAAAUCAUGAAUUCUCUGGGGAUUUAUUUUUGACCUUUUUAUAACCCAAGGAGGCAUCGCACUGUAUUACAUUCAUUUCAUCCUUAUCUAUUGACCUACUUUAUUCACUGAUAUCUCAAGUGGGGAAACUGACUAAAUGAUUUCACAAAGCUUUCUCUGUAAUCAAUAGUCAUUUUUUAGGUUUAUUCAUGCUGCAUUAUAAUUCUGGUAAAUGACUGCAAAGUAGAAGAUUGUCAGAAAGAUACAAAUAUUGACAGAGCCAGUAAAAUUCAUGUCUUUAAAUCUUCAGAAUUUCAAUAUAGCAACUGAUACAGUUAUUUGACAGAAAAGGAUUGAAAAUGUAUAUUUACUAGAAUAUAAAACCUAAAGUGACUGAGUAACUGGCAAUACAUAUUUAAAUAUGUUUCUUGAGUAUCUCAGAAUUUCCUGAAGCUUUGAGUAUCCUUUUCUAUAGCAUCACUAAAUGAAACAGAAACAGUUUGGGCAUAUGCAGAUAGGGCCACAAGAAAAGGGUCACUGCAAUUUUAUUUUUUCCAUUUCCUCCAAGUUCCAUUAGAAGUAUGCAUAGAAAAAAUACAGAUGUAUACUUCAGAUAUACACUGAAUCCCUUUCAGUGACAGGACAAGGAGAUAACACGCUUAAUAGAUUCAAAGGCAGACUUACCAUUCUGAGCACGACGUCACUCUAAUUAUGUUUACUCUAAUUGAAAGCAAGGUUUUUUGGAAUCUGAAAUUACUUUCAGAAUUUUUUUUAAAUAAUGCAAGUGGAUCAAAUGUUGAUCACAAGCAUUUCCAUCUUUCAAAAUGUAUUGGAAAAUUAAAUGAAAAGUGGAGUUUGGUACGAACAAUGCCCCAGGGCAAAAAACAACUAACACUAGAUUUUCCAGUCCAGCCAUAACACAAAUCAAUUUGAGCACACUUCUAUGGCCAGACUGCCAGAUUGUUAUGACUGCUAAUUCACUCAAUCAAAGAGUGCAUUAGCACACCCGGCACAAAUAGCUUUAACAAUAGAGUGCACUUCUGAACAAUUCUAAGAUACAUCACAACGGAGAAGUAAAGAGGGAGAUCAUUUUAACAUCUACAUAUUUACUGAUAGACUUGUGUCCUUAACAGAAAAAAAAAAAGACUGAGAUAAAUUUCAGGCAGAGGUUUAUUAAAGAGCUAUCCAAGUUUGGCAAAUCUAGAAAGAUAUCAGGGUACCAGUACUUCACUGACUUUGUUAAACAUUUCUCAGGAGAGAGUCCAAAAUUGAUGUUUGCACUUCAGUAGUAAAUCAUCGAAGAUGGAGAAAUUAUGCCAAGUAACUCUCUCAAGCCUUUUUAACUCAGACACACGGCCUCACCAAUCAGCUCAGCAGACAAACCCUGACUACUGCCUUAAGUAAAGACUUCUCCACUUUCGCACUUUCCGUCUCUGCCUCCCCACUUCUGGCUUUUAGUGACUCUCACUUCCACAGUCUCCCUCUUUUCCAAUCUCCUGCCUCUCUUCCAGAGCAAAGAAUAUGACUUUUAUCUCACUGAUACAUUCUCUAAUCAGUUGCAGAGAGCUUGGUGAUAAAUUACCCAAAGGACAGAAGGUGGGGAGCUCAAGGUGAGCUCACUCUAACUUGAAGUGCUCAAACUUUAUGUUACAAAAUUCCAGUCUUAAUAAAGAAGUGGUUAAAAUGCUUAUAAAUAACAUGGAUUUGUUUUAUAGCUUGGGAAUGCAUGGACCAUACCUAUGCUUACACAAUGCAUACGGUGACUUUCUAGAGUCAAAUGGUGUCUUUUAGCUCCACUGUUCCUCCUCCCUAACUUUCUUUUCCCACGCAUUUCUGUACUGGUUUAGAAUGAAGGUGACAUGUGGCUUAUGAAGCAUAUUUUAAGAAAUCUCUAAACCCAUGUCAGGGGAGAGAGAGUAUUAAGAAAGAGAAGAGUUACAAAGAAAAAAAAUCAUCAUGGAAUUGUUUCUCUGUCUCCAAAUUGCAUCAUUUCCACAAGAGGUAAAACUCUUUGUGAUAAUUUGGUUAUACUUGCCCAUCAGUACUUACUUCCACUGGAAGUAUCCUAAUUCCAUCUGUGGGUCAGUAUUGUGUUGCAUGGCCAAAAAUUUAAUAACAAAAAAAAACACAGUGAGAUCAUUUUAGAGUUGGAUUGUAAAAGGAAGCAGCAACUAGAAUAAUAUCUCAAUUUAUAUUAUUCAUUCCUUAAAUCAGACCAUUGUCCGAGGAAUGCCAUACUGGAUUGAAGGAAGACCAAAAAGUCAGGUGGACAUUUAAAUCCUUAGUUUUCUAGUAAAUAUUCUGCCUUCAGUUGCAUCUUUUCAUUUGUUGCAUUUUUCUAUCUCUCUCCCUCCCCUCUUUUUAAUAACCUAAAACUAAUUUUCCUCUAAAGACCAGUAUUAAGACAUGAAUUGCUUAAGAGACACACAGUUGGGAAUGGGGGUGGGGACAAGUCUUAUGUAGUGAGUGUAAAUGCAUGUUUAAUAUUAAAACAAAUUAUUGUAUAAUUUUGUAAUGUUAGGAGAAAUAUACUAAACUUGACUAUAAAAGUUUCUAUUGAUUCACUGUC